rnacentral:rRNA from 1 species
UGCUGGAGGUAUCAGAAGUGCGAAUGCUGACAUAAGUAACGAUAAAGCGGGUGAAAAGCCCGCUCGCCGGAAGACCAAGGGUUCCUGUCCAACGUUAAUCGGGGCAGGGUGAGUCGACCCCUAAGGCGAGGCCGAAAGGCGUAGUCGAUGGGAAACAGGUUAAUAUUCCUGUACUUGGUGUUACUGCGAAGGGGGGACGGAGAAGGCUAUGUUGGCCGGGCGACGGUUGUCCCGGUUUAAGCGUGUAGGCUGAUUUUCCAGGCAAAUCCGGAGAAUCAAGGCUGAGGCGUGAUGACGAGGCACUACGGUGCUGAAGCAACAAAUGCCCUGCUUCCAGGAAAAGCCUCUAAGCAUCAGGUAACAUCAAAUCGUACCCCAAACCGACACAGGUGGUCAGGUAGAGAAUACCAAGGCGCUUGAGAGAACUCGGGUGAAGGAACUAGGCAAAAUGGUGCCGUAACUUCGGGAGAAGGCACGCUGAUGGUAGGUGAAGCGACUUGCUCGUGGAGCUGAAAUCAGUCGAAGAUACCAGCUGGCUGCAACUGUUUAUUAAAAACACAGCACUGUGCAAACACGAAAGUGGACGUAUACGGUGUGACGCCUGCCCGGUGCCGGAAGGUUAAUUGAUGGGGUCAGCCGCAAGGCGAAGCUCUUGAUCGAAGCCCCGGUAAACGGCGGCCGUAACUAUAACGGUCCUAAGGUAGCGAAAUUCCUUGUCGGGUAAGUUCCGACCUGCACGAAUGGCGUAAUGAUGGCCAGGCUGUCUCCACCCGAGACUCAGUGAAAUUGAACUCGCUGUGAAGAUGCAGUGUACCCGCGGCAAGACGGAAAGACCCCGUGAACCUUUACUAUAGCUUGACACUGAACAUUGAGCCUUGAUGUGUAGGAUAGGUGGGAGGCUUUGAAGUGUGGACGCCAGUCUGCAUGGAGCCGACCUUGAAAUACCACCCUUUAAUGUUUGAUGUUCUAACGUGGACCCGUGAUCCGGGUUGCGGACAGUGUCUGGUGGGUAGUUUGACUGGGGCGGUCUCCUCCUAAAGAGUAACGGAGGAGCACGAAGGUUGGCUAAUCCUGGUCGGACAUCAGGAGGUUAGUGCAAUGGCAUAAGCCAGCUUGACUGCGAGCGUGACGGCGCGAGCAGGUGCGAAAGCAGGUCAUAGUGAUCCGGUGGUUCUGAAUGGAAGGGCCAUCGCUCAACGGAUAAAAGGUACUCCGGGGAUAACAGGCUGAUACCGCCCAAGAGUUCAUAUCGACGGCGGUGUUUGGCACCUCGAUGUCGGCUCAUCACAUCCUGGGGCUGAAGUAGGUCCCAAGGGUAUGGCUGUUCGCCAUUUAAAGUGGUACGCGAGCUGGGUUUAGAACGUCGUGAGACAGUUCGGUCCCUAUCUGCCGUGGGCGCUGGAGAACUGAGGGGGGCUGCUCCUAGUACGAGAGGACCGGAGUGGACGCAUCACUGGUGUUCGGGUUGUCAUGCCAAUGGCACUGCCCGGUAGCUAAAUGCGGAAGAGAUAAGUGCUGAAAGCAUCUAAGCACGAAACUUGCCCCGAGAUGAGUUCU